UACGGAGGGUGCGAGCGUUGCCCGGAAUCACUGGGCGUAAAGGGCGCGUAGGCGGCGCGGAUAGUCGGCGGUGAAAGCCCGGAGCUCAACUCCGGGUCGGCCGUCGAUACUUCCGGGCUUGAGCACUGUAGAGGCAGAUGGAAUUCCGGGUGUAGCGGUGGAAUGCGUAGAGAUCCGGAAGAACACCGGUGGCGAAAGCGCUCGUCUGGCCCAAUACUGACGCUGAUGCGCGAAAGCUAGGGGAGCAAACGGG
rnacentral:rRNA from 1 species